UACGUAGGGUGCGAGCGUUGCUCGGAAUUACUGGGCGUAAAGCGCACGUAGGCGGUCUUUUAAGUCGGGGGUGAAAUCCUGGAGCUCAACUCCAGAACUGCCUUCGAUACUGGAAGACUUGAGCCCGGGAGAGGUGAGUGGAACUGCGAGUGUAGAGGUGAAAUUCGUAGAUAUUCGCAAGAACACCAGUGGCGAAGGCGGCUCACUGGCCCGGUACUGACGCUGAGGUGCGAAAGCGUGGGGAGCAAACAGG
rnacentral:rRNA from 1 species